rnacentral:rRNA from 1 species
UGGGGAAUAUUGCACAAUGGGCGAAAGCCUGAUGCAGCAACGCCGCGUGAGUGAUGAAGGUCUUCGGAUUGUAAAGCUCUGUCUUUUGGGACGAUAAUGACGGUACCAAAGGAGGAAGCCACGGCUAACUACGUGCCAGCAGCCGCGGUAAUACGUAGGUGGCGAGCGUUGUCCGGAUUUACUGGGCGUAAAGGGUGCGUAGGCGGAUGUUUAAGUGAGAUGUGAAAUACCCGGGCUUAACUUGGGUGCUGCAUUUCAAACUGGAUAUCUAGAGUGCAGGAGAGGAGAAUGGAAUUCCUAGUGUAGCGGUGAAAUGCGUAGAGAUUAGGAAGAACACCAGUGGCGAAGGCGAUUCUCUGGACUGUAACUGACGCUGAGGCACGAAAGCGUGGGUAGCAAACAGGAUUAGAUACCCUGGUAGUCCACGCCGUAAACGAUGAGUACUAGGUGUAGGAGGUAUCGACCCCCUCAGUGCCG